UGUUGCUGAGUUUGGCAAAACAGCAAAGCAUGGCUGUAUUUUCUCCUUUAUGUCCAAAGGCAUCCUAAAGUGUUUUAAAGCAAAAUGGAGGACAGCCUUGAUGUGCUAAGAGUCCCAGUAAAGAACAGGUCAGUGAGCUGGUCAGACCAUUAGCUAGAGUUGAAUGAGCGGCUCUUAAACACAUCCCUGAUAGCAAAGCAUCAGUCACGAAGCAGCAUCUAGAAGCAGGAGUUUAGCCUAAAUACUUAUCACCAGCCAGACUGCAGGAGACACUCAAAGAGUCACUUCCAACUUCACAUGGGUAGAGUUAGAUAGCGAUUCACGGCUUCCGAUACCUUCUGGUUCUAACUUCACAGGCUUAGAACGUUUUAAGCUUUAAUUUUAAAGUUACUGGUAUCCCUUCAUUGAUGGAAACAGGGUUUGGGAAAUCUGCCUUACUCAAGAGAGGAAGUACAACAAAUGAAAGACUACAGGUCCAGAAAUAAUCAGAUGAGAGGUGGGAACUGUCCAUCAUUGCAGCUGGUCUGGCUUCACUCAGUUUCUUAAUCUCCUUUUUUAACACCAGUCUCUGCAUUUGUAAAUUGAGAGUAAUAGCUAAAAGGUUAUUAUGAGAAUUGCCUGUGCACACUCACAUGUGUGGUGUGUGUGUGUGUGUGUGUGUGUGUGUGUGUGUGUGUGUGUGUGUGUGGUGUGUGUGUGUUUCAGGUCAAAGAUAAAUAACAGGUUUCUUACUCAGUCGUUUUCUUAAUCUUUGAAACAGGGUCUCCCAUUUAAACCUGGAACUAACUUAUUAGUCAAGGCUGGUUGACUAGUGAGUUUCAAGGACUUUUUUUCUGUCUUCCCAGCACUGGGAUUACAGAUCUUCCCACAACUGACUUGUUAUAUAGGUUCUAAACGAUUGAUCCUGGCUCAGUAAACACUGAUCCAGAUUCAUCUCCCAGGCACCCCUCACCCCCACUGUCUUGUUUGGCACUACUCCUCCACAUGGCAGAAAAAUACGGCUCACACUCAGUAAAAGCUAUCCUAAUUGCUAGCACUCUCCCUUCCUUUCAUUUUUCCUCAAGAACCUUUUUUGAUUUUACAGUACUGGGGUCAAACCCAGGGACUUGCAUAUGCUUGGCAAAGUCUCCACCAAAGAACCACACCCCCCCUCAUCCAAGAGAAUUUUAACAGGUGUAUCUUCCAAGUCCUGCUGGACAAUAACCAUUGACACUUACGUUCUUCUCUGUGACCUCAUGUUCUUUGUUAUCACCCAUAGUCCAGGUUAGGAUCUUGUGUCUGGUUUACAACUUCCUACACAGCUUUUAUCAAUCCUCCUUUCUGCAGUCUAUGUAUGUAGUACUGUAGUAAUGUAGAUCUAUCAUGUAAUAUAGAUAUGAUGCCAUGUGACAGCCUUGUCAUACUGUUCAUGACAUUUCUCAAACAUAAUAUAUGUCAUGUCAUUCUUUUGCUCAUAAAACUUCAAUUCUCCCUUCUACCAUACAACAUCAAUAUUGACUUCUAAUUGCAGCCCCAAUGCAAUGAUUUGGACCAACUAUCCCUAUUCCUGUAAGCAACUGGAAAAGCAGACUGAAGAGAACAGUGACCAUAGAGUGUUGGCAAGCUGCCUACAAAGAAAUAGCAUAAGGUUCAAGAAAAGCAAUUAAAAUAAGAAUGUAAGAUUCUCUGUAAGCCCAGUCUACUCCCUGAUAUUUGCUGGAUUCUAGCAGGGAGAAUCCCAGGUAAAGCAAGGGAGAUAGAGGCUGCCUUUCAGAGAGCUGAGGCUGUUGGAGUUUGCAGAGCAGUGUACAGCAUGGAUAGCAACUGUGCAGGGGUGUGCCACCAUCCAGAAGCAACACAAAGGCUCUUGCCAUGCUUGUUUGAUGAACACCACACACACAGUGAGACUCAGAAAUGCUGGUGAAGAGCAGACCCUGGAACAAAGGAAACGUCUGGAAGCCCGGUGUUUUCUAACUGACACAGCUUGGGGAAGUUUGUGUUCAGAGAAGCAGGGCAGAGAAACUGUGUGGAACACUACGCCUUUGGAAGAAAGCCAAGAAAGACACACUUCAAGAGUACACUGGAAAGCCAGCCGAAGACACACCCAAAAAGGCUUCAGAGUAAAGGGUAAUCUCGGAAGAUGACGCAGUCAUUUGGAUAUUUGAGGUUCAUGAGAUCGAUCUAUGAUUUGGAAUGCGGAUCCAUACCACAAUCACAUCUAUGAAAUGGGUACCAUCAAAGACCUCAGAAAGGAGAGGAAAGUUCAAAUAUAUCAGAGCAGAUUUCCUACAUUCUCAUCUUCUGCAAUUCUAAUUGUCAUGACUUGGAAAUAUAUCUCAAUGGUAGAAUGCCUGCCAAGCAGACACAAGGCCCUAGGUUUGAUUUCCAGAACAAUACAAUAAAAUUCAAUUUUUUUUUCCAUUUGAAAA